UACGUAGGGCGCAAGCGUUGUCCGGAAUUAUUGGGCGUAAAGAGCUCGUAGGCGGCUUGUCACGUCGGGGUGUGAAAGCCCGGGGCUUAACCCCGGGUCUGCAUCCGAUACGGGCAGGCUAGAGUGUGGUAGGGGAGAUCGGAAUUCCUGGUGUAGCGGUGAAAUGCGUAGAUAUCUGGAGGAACACCGGUGGCGAAGGCGACAUCCUGGACCGGUAUUGACGCUGAGGCGCGAAAGCCAGGGGAGCAAAGCGGG
rnacentral:rRNA from 1 species